CGCGCAGGCGGUUUCUUAAGUCUGUCUUAAAAGUGCGGGGCUUAACCCCGUGAGGGGACGGAAACUGGGAGACUUGAGUAUCGGAGAGGAAAGCAGAAUUCCUAGUGUAGCGGUGAAAUGCGUAGAUAUUAGGAGGAAUACCAGUGGCGAAAGCGGCUUUCUGGCACGAAACUGACGCUGAGGCUCGAAAGCAUGGGUAGCGAACG
rnacentral:rRNA from 1 species